UAGAUGGAUAGAUAUAGAUGUAGAGACAGAUCUAGAGAGACGUACAGACUGAUAGAUGUAGAGAUAGAUGGAUAGGUAGAUACAGAGACAGAUUAGAGAAGGAUAUAGAUGACAGGUGUAGAGAUAGAGACAAAUGGAUAGAUAGGCAGACAUGUAGAGGUAAGAGAUGGAUAGAUAGGUGCACUCCUAUUUAAAUCUAUUAAAUAUGCAAGUCAAACUAUUAAGUUUGUUUUCAGCAUUGGUUUUAAUGGGAACUGCUAGCUGUAAUUGACAAGAUAGACAAACCGAGUGCUCUCUGGAUAUUUGGUGUGGUUCUAGUAUUUUCGCUUUGUGUUUCAAUUAUGUUGUGCAGGUGAUUCUAAAUAGACAGACCUCCCUCCACAAAGCAAAGUUCUUUAGAGUCCCGACACCUGGAAGCUUUUCUGUUCGGCAAUGGUACCCCGGAGUUUUUAAAUGAUGCUUAAAGCAAUUGCCUGUCAUAUGGGUAUAUUAGAAGAUAAAUUGGUCAUUAGGAACACCGGUGUUUUGCAUUAUGAAGAGCAAAUAUGUGUAUAGCACAACUAGACGUUUUCCUGUCACUUGCAGUUGAGAAACACUGCAGUAGAGGGAAACUAGAAGAAAUGUCCUUUAAAUAGAAGUGAGUGCAGGAUAGCUUUUAUCUGUAGCUUUGCUUUUCUUGGGCCUUUCACAGCCUCUUUGAAAAAGGGUCACAUGAAAGCAGCCAAACAGUGUUAUCAAAAGUGUAUUAUUGGGAACCGCUUAAAUGCUUCUGUGAUUUGCGUGUGCAUUUUUUUUUUUUUGGCUUGGCUAUGCGGUUUCGUUGCCCUUGAAAUCGCUCAUUUGCAGGACUUUGGGUCGAUCCUUUAAACAUUUUAACUUCCUAGCUUAAAUGUUGAGGGUAGUGUUUUUUAAAGUCUCACUAUUUCCUUUCCGCUCUGUAUUCUACAAACCCUGGGUGUUUGGCUAAUAGGGAGCUUAAUUACUGAGAAAAAAAGCUCUUUUGUAUGCACGGGGUAAGCGUUUUCAGUUUUAAGAGUCUGAUUAAGGACUAUGCUGGGAUAAUAGAAGAAGUAAGAUCUAUUCACUGCCCUGGCAGACUUCCUAUUUUGAGCCUUAUGUUCAAAAUGUUAAAAGGAAAAAAAAAAAACCCCAGAAUUCUGAAGUAUUAGUCACAUAUUGACGGGCAAAGCUAUAGUCUUUUCCUAUUUCCUGGGCAUCAAGACCCCACAUCCUGUCGUUCACCAGAUUGUGUGAGUGCAACUGGGCUGUUUAUUCAGUAUAUAAAACUGGGCAUGUUUAAUUCUCUUGGUAAGAAAGUUCUCAAGAAGACCACGCUUAAACAGCCGGGUGAAAAAAAAUACUUUUAUGUCUAUGAAGUUCCUAAGUACCUAGGCCUGAGGCAGCAAAGCAUUAAGAUUUUUGUUUUUUAAAAAAGGUUUGUUUCUACAGAGGAACUAGCCUAAGAGUAUUCAGGUUACUUUAGUGUAAAACAUGGGUCUUGCUGGCAGAUCCAAAUGCAAAACUUUCACAAGACAUGUAAUCUUUUGAGCCAGAGAAAUGUUAACGUUUGCCGUUGAGUCCACCUUAAAGCCAAAACUUCAUUUUUAAAUCGUUGGUUGUUAAAAAAAAAUUCGUGGAGCCGAUUUGAAGUGUUCCCUUAUUUAUUCUGAGCGCUUCCAAUAGACUUAGUUUUAUUUUAAUGACCCCCUUGGCGAUCUCUCUAUAAAUUGUAACAUUUCAAUCCUU